rnacentral:rRNA from 1 species
CCUACGGGGUGCAGCAGUGGGGAAUAUUGCACAAUGGGGGAAACCCUGAUGCAGCGACGCCGCGUGAGUGAAGAAGGAAUUCGGUAUGUAAAGCUCUAUCAGCAGGGAAGAAAAUGACGGUACCUGAGUAAGAAGCCCCGGCGAACUACGUGCCAGCAGCCGCGGUAAUACGUAGGGGGCAAGCGUUAUCCGGAUUUACUGGGGGUAAAGGGAGCGUAGACGGCAGUGCAAGUCUGGCGUGAAAGGCGGGGGCUCAACCCCCGGACUGCUCUGGAAACUGGACGGCUGGAGUGCAGGAGAGGUAAGUGGAAUUCCUAGUGUAGCGGUGAAAUGCGUAGAUCUUAGGAGGAACACCAGUGGCGAAGGCGGCUUACUGGACUGUACCUGCCGUUGAGGCUCGAAAGCGUGGGGAGCAAACAGGAUUAGAUACCCUAGUAGUC